CCUACGGGUGGCAGCAGUGGGGAAUAUUGGACAAUGGGCGAAAGCCUGAUCCAGCCAUGCCGCGUGUGUGAAGAAGGCCUUCGGGUUGUAAAGCACUUUCAGUGGGGAAGAAAGCCUUGGGGCUAAUACCCUCGAGGAAGGACAUCACCCACAGAAGAAGCACCGGCUAACUCCGUGCCAGCAGCCGCGGUAAUACGGAGGGUGCGAGCGUUAAUCGGAAUUACUGGGCGUAAAGCGCGCGUAGGCGGUCUGAUAAGCCGGUUGUGAAAGCCCCGGGCUCAACCUGGGAACGGCAUCCGGAACUGUCAGGCUAGAGUCCAGGAGAGGAAGGUAGAAUUCCCGGUGUAGCGGUGAAAUGCGUAGAGAUCGGGAGGAAUACCAGUGGCGAAGGCGGCCUUCUGGACUGACACUGACGCUGAGGUGCGAAAGCGUGGGUAGCAAACAGGAUUAGAUACCCGAGUAGU
rnacentral:rRNA from 1 species